rnacentral:tRNA from 1 species
GGCGCCGUGGCAUAGUGGUUAGUGCGCCUGCCUGUAACUCAGAGGUAAUGGGUUCAAGACUUGUCGCUGCUA